rnacentral:rRNA from 1 species
GUGCAGCAGGCGAGAAUACUUUACAAUGUGCGAAAGCACGAUAAGGGAACUCUGAGUGCCUCCUAAGGAGGCUGUUCAGGUGUCUAAAAAGCACCUGGAGUAAGGGCUGGGUAAGACCGGUGCCAGCCGCCGCGGUAACACCGGCAGCCCAGGUGGUAGCCACUUUUAUUGGGUCUAAAGCGUCCGUAGCCGGUUGAGUAAGUUCCUUGGGAAAUUUGGCUGCUCAACAGUCAAGCUUCCAGGGAAUACUGCUCGACUUGGGGACUGGGGAGAGGUCAGAGGUACUCCAGGGGUAGGGGUGAAAAUCCAUUAAUCCCUGGGGGACCACCGGUAGCGAAGGCGUCUGACCAGACCAGGUCCGACGGUGAGGGACGAAGGCUAGGGGCGCGAACCGGAUUAGAUA